rnacentral:rRNA from 1 species
GAUGAACGCUGGCGGCGUGCCUAAUACAUGCAAGUCGAGCGAACAGACGAGGAGCUUGCUCCUCUGACGUUAGCGGCGGACGGGUGAGUAAUACGUGGAUAACCUACCUAUAAGACUGGGAUAAUUUCGGGAAACCGGAGCUAAUACCGGAUAAUAUAUUGAACCGCAUGGUUCAAUAGUGAAAGACGGUUUUGCUGUCACUUAUAGGUGGAUCCGCGCCGCAUUAGCUAGUUGGUAAGGUAACGGCUUACCAAGGCAACGAUGCGUAGCCGACCUGAGAGGGUGAUCGGCCACACUGGAACUGAGACACGGUCCAGACUCCUACGGGAGGCAGCAGUAGGGAAUCUUCCGCAAUGGGCGAAAGCCUGACGGAGCAACGCCGCGUGAGUGAUGAAGGUCUUCGGAUCGUAAAACUCUGUUAUUAGGGAAGAACAAAUGUGUAAGUAACUAUGCACGUCUUGACGGUACCUAAUCAGAAAGCCGCGGCUAACUACGUG